GGAAAAUCUAUGAUUCUUCUCUCUGAAGCUGAGUAGGUUAUUUCCCUUCUACUAAUGGAAGUGACAUUGAGAAAGACAGUCCCAAAGGGAAGACCCUAGGCUAUGUACCAUGUGAAUGGUUCCCUUUCAGGUAACAGAGAAAUAAGGAAAAAACGAGUAGUAAUCUACUGGACAGGUGAAAAAGAAGCCAGUAUCAUCUCAUGUAGGUUUACCUGGCUGCUACCUGUGAGGUUGGAGAAGCGUCUUCUGGCCACUUUUCAUUUCUCUUGGUGUGGCCUCUUGUGUUCCAGGCUUAAGCUUCUUUUCCUGAUGCUAAGCCGCUGCUGCCCAGAUGAGUACCGAGUGCAGAAUCUGGCCCUAGAGUAAGAUUUCAAUGCUACCUCCAACAUUUAAGAGCUCCGCCAUUGGGUAAGUCCCUCCAUGUCUCAGUUUCCAUACCUGAACAAAAAGCUGAUGACACUUCUACCUU
rnacentral:lncRNA from 1 species